UUAUCUACCCUAUUUAGUUCUAGCUCGUUCAGUUCUCCCUUGUCUGGAAUUGUAUGUUGAUGUCUUCUCCUCGUGCUAUGUGUGAUUCCCUGAAACAGAUAAUUGAACUGCUUC